rnacentral:rRNA from 1 species
AAUCAACGCUGGCGGCGUGCCUCAGACAUGCAAGUCGAACGCGAAAGUUCCCUUCGGGGAGCGAGUAGAGUGGCGCACGGGUGAGUAACACGUAGGUAAUCUACCUUUGGAUGGGGAAUAACCCCGAGAAAUCGGGGCUAAUACCGCAUAAUGCAGCGGCACCUAAUGGUGACAGUUGUUAAAGCGGGGGAUCGAAAGACCUCGCGUCUGAAGAGGAGCCUGCGGCGGAUUAGCUAGUUGGUAAGGUAACGGCUUACCAAGGCUAUGAUCCGUAGCCGGCCUGAGAGGGCGGUCGGCCACACUGACACUGACAUACGGGUCAGACUCCUACGGGAGGCAGCAGUCGGGAAUUUUGGGCAAUGGGCGAAAGCCUGACCCAGCAACGCCGCGUGAAGGAUGAAAUCCCUCGGGAUGUAAACUUCGCAAGAACAGGAAGAAUAAGUAGGGGACAAUACCCCCUAUGAUGACGGUACUGUUUGUAAGCUCCGGCUAACUCCGUGCCAGCAGCCGCGGUAAUACGGGGGGAGCAAGCGUUGUUCGGAUUUACUGGGCGUAAAGGGCGCGUAGGCGGCCACCGCAAGUCGGUUGUGAAAUCUCCGGGCUUAACCCGGAAAGGUCAAUCGAUACUGCGGGGCUAGAGU